rnacentral:rRNA from 1 species
UGGGGAAUCUUGCACAAUGGGGGAAACCCUGAUGCAGCGACGCCGCGUGAGCGAUGAAGCCCCUCGGGGUGUAAAGCUCUUUCGGCAGGGACGAUGAUGACGGUACCUGCAGAAGAAGCUGCGGCUAACUACGUGCCAGCAGCCGCGGUAAUACGUAGGCAGCAAGCGUUGUUCGGAAUUACUGGGCGUAAAGCGUGCGUAGGCGGUUGGCUAAGUUUGGUGUGAAAUCUCCCGGCUCAACUGGGAGGGUGCGCCGAAAACUGGCCGGCUAGAGUGCGGGAGAGGGAAGUGGAAUUCCUGGUGUAGCGGUGAAAUGCGUAGAUAUCAGGAGGAACACCGGUGGUGUAGACGGCUUCCUGGACCGUGACUGACGCUGAGGCACGAAAGCGUGGGGAGCAAACAGGA